rnacentral:rRNA from 1 species
UACGUAGGGGGCAAGCGUUGUCCGGAUUUAUUGGGCGUAAAGAGCGUGUAGGCGGCCGCACAGGUCCGUUGUGAAAACUGGAGGCUCAACCUUCAGACGUCGAUGGAAACCGUGCGGCUAGAGUCCGGAAGAGGAGAGUGGAAUUCCGUGGAUGUAGCGGUGAAAUGCGCAGAUAUCAGGAGGAACACCGAUGGCGAAGGCAGGUCUCUGGGCCACUACUGACGCUGAGAAGCGAAAGCAUGGGGAGCGAACAGG